CAAUUAUCACAUCAGUAGAUUGCAGUUAUGAUAACAAUGCCUGUAGUGUUGAUGGUAAUAGUGAAUGUGAUACGAAUACCGCUAAAUGUGUUUGCAAACCUGAAUUUUCAGUUACUGGAAAUAAAUGUGAACCAAUUAUCACAUCGGUAGAAUGCAGUUAUGAUAACAAUGCCUGUAGUGUUGAUGGUAAUAGUGAAUGUGAUACGAAUACCGCUAAAUGUGUUUGCAAAACUGGAUUUUCAGUUACUGGAAUUAAAUGUGAUCCAAUUAUCACAUCGGUAGACUGCAGUUAUGAUUACAAUGCCUGUAGUGUUGAUGGUAAUAGUGAAUGUGAUACGAAUACCGCUAAAUGUGUUUGCAAAACUGGAUUUUCAGUUACUGGAAUUAAAUGUGAACCAAUUAUCACAUCAGUAGAUUGCAGUUAUGAUUACAAUGCCUGUAGUGUUGAUGAUAAUAGUGAAUGUGAUACGAUUACCGCUAAAUGUGUUUGCAAAACAGGAUUUUCAGUUACUGGAAUUAAAU